rnacentral:rRNA from 1 species
UCAGACGAUGCGUCAUGCACAUCAAUAAGCGGAGGAAAAGAAACUAACAAGGAUUCCCUUAGUAACGGCGAGUGAAGCGGGAAGAGCUCAAAUUUGAAAUCUUCAAGGUUUUACCUUGACGAAUUGUAGUUUAAAGAAGUGUUUUCUGUUGAAGUUUUGGUAAAAGUUCUUUGGAAUAGGACAUCAUAGAGGGUGAGAAUCCCGUAUUUGACCAUUAUUUUCAGCUGUGUGAUACACUUUCAAAGAGUCGGAUUGUUUGGGAAUGCAGUCCAAAAUGGGUGGUAAAUUUCAUCUAAAGCUAAAUAUUGGCGAGAGACCGAUAGCGAACAAGUACCGUGAGGGAAAGAUGAAAAGAACUUUGAAAAGAGAGUUAAACAGUACGUGAAAUUGUCAAAAGGGAAUGCGUUUGACACCAGUGUUGUUUUCUCGAAAAUCAAUUAAAAAGAGUUGGAUUUUGUGUUGUAUUGACCUUAACAGCUUGCUUCACUCUUUUCCUGCUUUUUUUAAUGCACUUUUCGGUUAACAAGUCAACAUCAAUUUCCUUUGUUGUAAAAGGGUCAGUAAGGAAGGUGGCUUUCUCUUCGGAGAAAGUGUUUAUAGCCUCUGAUCUCUGCAAUCGGAGAGACUGAGGUCUGCAGCGUAGAUCCUUCGGGGUUAGAUACAUUUGUGCUAAGUUAUAGCCUUUCAUAGACAACUUGUUGACUAUGAUCAGUCAUGUAGCUUACUCGCUUAUGCUAUUUUACCUACGCUUAGGAUGUUGAUAUGCAUGACUGAUAU